CGAAAAAAAUGCACACUGUGGCAAAAUACGCACGCUUCCGCGGUGGGUGGGCCAUGUUGACGGAGUAGAAUAGGCAGAUUUAACGCGAAAGUGAGGUGAGCCGCGGAUCGGAAUCGCGCACCCCGUCUGAGCCGCGGCUCGGAUAGUUCGCUUUCCGUUCGCUGGCUGCUGGGACGAAUUCAUUGCAGGGCGAGCGCCUCCUCCACCCCCAAGUGCGAUUUGGUCGGUGAACACUUCGAGAGACAGCCAUGGAGCGCCGACGGCGAGGGACAAUGGAGUUUUUGAUGCAACCAAUCGACAGAUCCACUCUUAUUGAGGAAGUAGGGGAGAGCUUGGUGCCGCCCCCUCUAGCUGCGAAUGGCGAUAUGCGGGCGGAGCUGGAGGUGACGCAGUAGCAUCCGGCGGUGGCCAGCGGCGAAGCACAGAUCGUCGCGGCGGCGUCCAGAAGGGAGAGCUCGCCUCCGACCUAGGAGCUGUCGAUGGGCAAGAUGAAUCCGCAAGCGCCCGGGUGGAAUAAGCGAUAUCUGAUGAACAAAGGGGGGCAAUUUGAAGCACUGCAUAAAAGCUAGGUGGAGUUGAUUACAUAUUUUUGGCAAUCAGUGGUCACAUGUCUACCCCAAGGUGCCUGAUUUCAUGAUCUCGGAGGUGCUGUUCUGACAAGUUAGAGGUGAUCGCCAAGGUAGUUGGAUCCUGAAGAUGCAAGUCUUGAUACUUCGAGCCGGUGAUAGCUGUCAUGCCAGAUGCUGCUAUAGCAGUCCCCAAAUUCCUGAUGUGUGUUCAGCGAUAGUUACAUGCAUGUAAAGCAAAACUUAUACUUUGGUCUGGACGUGACCUGUUUAACUUGCACCCCACAUAGCUGGUGUGGAAGUUCUUUUGCUCACGGUGAGCUUACAUAAUGAUUGCUAAAUGUAUGAAGACAUGUCUUUAUAACAUGUCUAAGAUUUUCAGUUGAAGGUGUGGAUGGUGAGAGGAGAGUUCAUAUGCUGCGAAGAGAGUUUGUAUGAUGGUGAUGUUAGAUUUUAUUUUUACUGCUAUGAUGUUAGAAUUUGAAUGAUGUCCUUUCAUUGCCGUAUGUUAACACCAUAGCAUGGUAAGAGGGAUAGUUUUCUUCAAGAUUGUUGUAGGUUAUGUGGUAAGAAUUUAGAGUCUGAAGAAGAGAUGCGAUACAAGCAUGAGGACAACGCUAACAUCGUCCUGGAAGGACUACGUCGAUGCAUAUACAUGCUAACAUCACUGGAUGGCAUGUUCCAGCGCUAGGACGGAGGGUGAUCUAUAAUGUGAACAUGCAUCCAAGUUGUGAAAUUGAGAACAACUGGCUUUACAUAUUGAAUUACAUUCUCGAAUUAACUGGGCUAUACAUCUACACUCCCCUGACCCAGAAAGGAGAACCUGUAAAGAAAGCUGGAGCAGAAAUUGCUUUACGAGGUGAUAUCUAUGAGGGGGAACCGUGCUGAGCUGCCAGAUUUCAUGAUUGAGGUAGUUCCAUUCUGAUAUGAGAUGGGCUAUUGGAGGAUGUUUGGUUAUCAUAUAUACAGUCUGGUUCUAGUAGUUGUGAGUUUGCUGCGAGAAGCAUAACACACUAGAAGGAAAUGUUAGAGCUACCAUCCCGGCUGUUCUGGUGUGGUAGUUGUUUCCAGGGAGGUCAAGUGUUACCAUAUAAACCCGUAUCGCAAAUGGAGGCAAGUGUUAGCUACCAUCCGCUGAAUUGUGGUGUGGUGGUGAUCUCUCAAUGAGUCCAUUAGCAUCCAGGAUUGUGUUUUGAGCAAGGGAUGUGAGUUAAACUAUAAUCCACACCACAUGUCUUAGAUGUAAGUGUGACUGAACCACGCGUGGAUGUAUUAAGUAGAUGUGCAUGACUAGAAAUUAUGGUUGGGAGCAUCAGAAAUUAUAUGCUUACAACGUGUGGUUUGUAGGCUGUGGUAGCCGAUGAUUUUAUAAUACAUGAUGCCUGGUAUGGUUGGGAGUUGAGUGAGGUCGAA